AGAGUUUGAUCCUGGCUCAGAAUGAACGCUGGCGGCGUGCUUUAUACAUGCAAGUCGAACGAGAACGUCACUUCGGUGACUAGUACAGCGGCGAACGGGUGAGUAACACGUGGACAACCUGCCUAGGAGCGGGGGAUAACCCGGGGAAACCUGGACUAAUACCGCAUACGCUUUCCGUCCCUCGGGACGGUUCGGAAAGAUGGCCUCUUCUUGAAAGCCACUACUCCUAGAGGGGUCCGCGUCUGAUUAGCUAGUUGGUGGGGUAAUGGCCUACCAAGGCGACUAUCAGUAGCCGGCCUGAGAGGGCGAUCGGCCACACUGGAACUGAGACACGGUCCAGACUCCUACGGGAGGCAGCAGUAGGGAAUAUUGCGCAAUGGGGGAAACCCUGACGCAGCAACGCCGCGUGGAGGAUGAAGGCCUUCGGGUCGUAAACUCCUGUCAGAUGGGACGAAACAGCUGCCGGCGAAAUACCGGUAGCCUUGACGGUACCAUCAGAGGAAGCCCCGGCUAACUCCGUGCCAGCAGCCGCGGUAAUACGGAGGGGGCAAGCGUUAUUCGGAAUUAUUGGGCGUAAAGGGCGCGUAGGCGGCCCGACAAGUCAACGGUGAAAUCCCUCGGCCUAACCGAGGAACUGCCGUUGAAACUGUCAGGCUUGAGGCCGGGAGAGGGUAGUGGAAUUCCCAGUGUAGCGGUGAAAUGCGUAGAUAUUGGGAGGAACACCAGUGGCGA
rnacentral:rRNA from 1 species